GGACAACCUACCCUGUGGAGGGGGAUAACCCCGGAAAACUGGGGAUAAUACCCCAUAGGUUAGGGUGGCUGGAAUGCCCCCUAGCUCAAAGGUCCGCCGCCACAGGAUGGGUCUGCGGCCGAUUAGGUUGUUGUUGGGGUAACGGCCCAACAAGCCUUUGAUCGGUACGGGUUGUGGGAGCAAGAGCCCGGAGAUGGAUUCUGAGACACGAAUCCAGGCCCUACGGGGCGCAGCAGGCGCGAAAACUUUACAAUGCGAGAAAUCGUGAUAAGGGAACCCCGAGUGCCCGUAAAUUCGGGCUGUCCGCCAGUGCAAAAAACUGGUGAAGAAAGAGCCGGGCAAGACCGGUGCCAGCCGCCGCGGUAAUACCGGCGGCUCGAGUGGUGGCCACUAUUACUGGGCUUAAAGCGUCCGUAGCUUGGUUGUUAAGUCUCCUGGGAAAUCCAUCGGCUCAACCGAUGGGCGUUCAGGAGAUACUGGCAACCUAGGGACCGGGAGAGGUGAGAGGUACUCCAGGGGUAGGAGUGAAAUCCUGUAAUCCUUGGGGGACCACCUGUGGCGAAGGCGUCUCACUAGAACGGCUCCGACAGUGAGGGACGAAAGCUGGGGGAGCAAACCGGAUUAGAUACCCGGGUAGUCCCAGCUGUAAACGAUGCGCGUUAGGUGUAUCGGUGACCACGAGUCACCGAGGUGCCGAAGGGAAACCGUGAAACGUGCCGCCUGGGAAGUACGGUCGCAAGGCUGAAACUUAAAGGAAUUGGCGGGGGAGCACCACAACAGGUGGAGCCUGCGGUUUAAUCGGACUCAACGCCGGGAAGCUCACCGGAUAAGACAGCUGAAUGAUAGCCGGGUUGAAGACUCUGCUUGACUAGCUGAGAGGAGGUGCAUGGCCGUCGUCAGUUCGUACUGUGAAGCAUCCUGUUAAGUCAGGCAACGAGCGAGACCCACGCCAACAGUUGCCAGCAUGUCCUCCGGGAUGGUGGGGACACUGUUGGGACCGCCUCUGCUAAAGAGGAGGAA
rnacentral:rRNA from 1 species